UUACGUCGGCGAUGGUUCAUUCAAAUUCUGCCUAUCAAGUUUCGAUGGUAGGAUAGAGGGCUACCAUGCUUUUUACGGGUAACGGCGAAUUAGGUUCGAUUCCGGAGAGGGAGCCUGAGAAACGGUACCCACAUCUAAGGAAGGCAGCAGGCGCGCAAAUUACCCAAUCCUGAUUCACGGGAGGUAGUUGACAAUAAAUAACAAUCCAGGGACUUUCCGGUCUUGUGAAUUGGACAUUGAGGAAACCAAUUUAAAUCUCUUAUCGAGGGAACCAACUUUGGGAGGGGCCAAGGUCUUGGUUGGCCAAGCAAGCCGGCGGGGUAAAUUUCCCAGGUUCCCAAAUAAGCGGUA
rnacentral:rRNA from 1 species